GAUGAACGCUGGCGGCGUGCCUAAUACAUGCAAGUCGAACGCUGGAAAUCUAGCUUGCUAGAUUGAAGGAGUGGCGAACGGGUGAGUAAUACAUAAGCAACCUACCCACGAAGACUGGGAUAAUCUCUGGAAACGGGGACUAAUACCGGAUAGGUAAUCGGAAGGCAUCUUCUGAUUAUUAAAGGUUAAAAACACUGGUGGAUGGGCUUAUGGCGCAUUAGUUAGUUGGUGAGGUAACGGCCCACCAAGACGAUGAUGCGUAGCCGGCCUGAGAGGGUGAACGGCCACAUUGGGACUGAGCCACGGCCCAGACUCCUACUGGAGGCAGCAGUAGGGAAUUUUCGGCAAUGGGGGAAACCCUGACCGAACAACGCCGCGUGAGUGAUGACGGCCUUCGGGUUGUAAAGCUCUGUUGUAAGGGAAGAACGGUAGAUAGAGAAUAUCUAAAUGACGGUACCUUACCAGAAAGCCACGGCUAGCUACGUG
rnacentral:rRNA from 1 species